rnacentral:lncRNA from 1 species
GGCUUAGAUAAAUUAUAGUCAUUUGUGCAUUCAACAUUAACAUAUAAGUGGACAUAAAUUCAACGUAUACCUUCAUCUAUUUGUGGGUUAUACAAUUUUUUUAAAAUCCGACCCUGAAGAAUCCAGAUAAUGAGUAGAAUGAUGUCUCUUGUCAUUCAACAAAAAUCUCUUAAAGUUAACUCUUUUUUUGAGUUAAUUUCAUUAUUUGGUAUGCUGUAGUUGUGAUAAGUGGAAGUAAAUGAUAAAAAAUUAUUUUAACUUAUAAAAAUCAAUAAAAUUAUUAAAAUAAGUUUUAUUUAAUAUAGUAAAAUAUUUAAAGUUAAUAAAAAAACAUUUAAAAUUUAUUAGAAACAGAAAAAAAAAACAAAAUUUAUAAAACAAUAUGGAAAACUUUGAAAAAAUUAUUAUAGAAUAUAAAAAUUAUGGAAAUUAAUAAAAAAUUAUAAAAAUAAUAAUAUAAUUUAUAAAGCACUUUAAAAUUAUAAAGCACAUUAAAAGUGGUGAUGAUGGAAUUUCUUAAACGAUUUACAGGUACGGAGAGGUUGAAUUGGGGACAAUGGGGAGCAUGCAUCGGCAUUGCAGCUGCUUCAUGUCCCCUUGGUUGGGCUGUCAAGUGCUUACCUGUUCCAAAGGAACCCAUUUUCAGCUAUCUAAAAUGGAAGAAAUAGAAUCUUCAUAGGUCACAAUUACAAUUCAUUGAUAUUCAUUUAUUACUGAUUCAUAUUAUUGUCUUGUAUUUAAGAUUGAAAUAUUUGUAGCCACAAGAAUAUGACCAUAAUUCAUAACUGUUAAUCCAAUGACCAUUUUCACCGACUUCAAUUUAAUGACACAAAAAUCCUAGUAUAUUUAUUAUUAACUAAUAUCACUAAUCACACUGUCUCUCAUUAAAAUCUGUAACUAAACAAGAAUAUGAAUGGAAAUGUAUACAGGUCUUCAUAAAAAAGGAGUUGUAAUUUGUAAAGAUUCCAACACUUAAAUACCCAAACACAAUAUGGACCUCACGAAAAAAUACAAGCUUUCAAGAAAAUCAUCCAUCAAUAUGCAAACGAAGGUAAAAAUAGAAGCAAGUUAUAUAACCCAGAAAUAUACAAUACCUGUAAAAAGCUUCUUUUCUUUUCUUUUUUCUUCUCUUCCAUCAUUCUUUCCCUUGUGGCUGUGUUUGUAGCCUUCCUUGGCUCGUCU